rnacentral:misc_RNA from 1 species
UUGUCGAUACUAUUUACAACCAGAGCAAGGAGCUCUAUCUAAAGCAUGAUUUCACCCAUCAGGAGCUGCACUAGCCUUCACAAAUCGGCCCUUUACUCGCUUCCUAGUAUCAGCUCUCGCCUUUCUCGAUUCAUAUCGUAUGUGCUUAUCAUAUCUCCGGGUUUUUUUCUUCUCCUUGUAACGCUGCAUGGCAGUGCCUCUGUUCUUUGCCAGCAGCUCAGUAUCAACCUCCGUUGCAGGCAUUGUUCUCACACUGUCACCUCUAACAAGAAUUUUCUGUUCCAUGAACUGGACAUCUUUGCCACCACUGCAGCUUUUCAGCUUACCAAAAGUUGAGCCUGAUGAAUGCCUUGCUAUAGGUAGGUUGUUGCUCUCAGAUGUUGCUGGACCCUGGCUGGCCGUUGGGUUAUUUGAGUUGUUAUUAAACAAUGUCAUAUCAUCAUGUGCAAUAAGGCAAUCCAGAUGGUACAAAUCUCCCAACAUUUUUGUGUUACUCAAUGAAGUUUCUUUCAUAAGUUCACCAAUAUUCUUGAUCACGAACCCUGCAUCGCUUGACCCAUACGCAACUUCUAAAUGGUCUGAUUCUUCAUGAGUCCUUAAUUGUCCCAAAUGAAAAUCCCAUAUCUGAGUACCCUGAGCACUGGCAUUACCAUCCCACAUUAUGUUCUCGCCAGCUACACGACCACUCGGUUUCAGAUCCAUCUGUGAUGGCAACAUACACAAGGAUGUAAAUGGCGGCUGUUCCUGCAACGGUUGCUGAGGAACUGUAGAACCUGCAACGUUAGCUGCAAUAAUUCCAUCAUUCGCAUUCCCAAAAUCAGCUACCUCCUCAUUCCCCUGCCAGCCNCUACUUGGUGUUUCCGGCAUCAAAUUAUCUCCGCCACCGCCAAUGUCACCGGUCAUCAAAUUUCUCUUUAACAACCCCACCAACUGCUUA